rnacentral:rRNA from 1 species
UCACGAAGUAGUUUUGAGCUAAAUAUAUUAUAAUAUUAGUUAUUUAUGGAGGUGUUGUAAAAUCUUAUUAAAAAUUAUAUUUAGGGGUGAUAGGCCUUUCAAAAACUAAGAUAUCUUGAAUCUAAUUAAAAGUAUGUAGUACAUUUAACACAACUAUUAAGUGACUAGGCUUUAUAGAACUAUUAACUUAUAGAUAUUUUAUUUACUAUAACUUUAAUAAUUAAGUAUAUAAGUAUAUUAAUAUUCAUUUAUUAUAAUUUAUAAGGAGUAAUUAGAUAAAUUAAAGUUUAUAAAUUUUGUAAUAAUGUUAAUAUUAGUAUUAAGUUUAUAUUUAUAUGAUGAACUCGGCAAAAAUGCUUCUCAACUGUUUAUCAAAAACAUAACUAUGUGAAUAAAUACAUAGCGGUUUCUGCUCAAUGAUUAAUUAAAUAGCCGCAGUAUACUGACUGUGCAAAGGUAGCAUAAUCAAUUGACUUAUAAUUGAAGUCUGGAAUGAAUGAAAAUAAUGGGAAGCCACUAUAUUUUUAAAUAUAUAUAAUUUAUUUAUGAAGUGAAAAUACUUCUAUAGAUAUAAUAGACGAGAAGACCCUAGAAAUUUUUAGUAAUUAAAAUUAUAUUUAAAAAAUUUUUUGUUGGGGCGACAGAGUAGCAUAUUAACCUACUUAAAAUAAACUUGCACCUUUUUUAUUGUUUGAAAAAUUUACUCUAGGGAUAACAGCAUAAUAUUCAAAAGUUUAUGACCUCGAUGUUGGAUUAGGAAAUAAUAACUUAAAAGGUUUUUUAUAUUGCUCUGUUCGAGCAUUAACUCCUACAUGAUC